rnacentral:lncRNA from 1 species
CGGCGAAGUCGACAAACGGGCGCCGUGCGAGCCCGGGCAAGCUCACCGCCGAGCUUAUCAGCGCUAGCGCCAGAUGGCGAGCGGCGCGUUUGCUCCCAUUUUGCGCUUUGUAGCUUGUUUUGGCUGGCGCGUUGACGUCACCGCCGGGACGGCAACAUAAACGCGCCGUCGCGGGCCAGCGUCUGCGUGUAUCGAAGAGUCUUCUCUGAGAGAAGGGAUCGAAGCAGUCUCUUGCAGCGUUCCAAACUCGAGCCUGCAAACUUCGUUUGCCUGCCUAUUCCUACCCGCUGCUGAGUUUUCUGCAUCCGUUUAGUUCCUUCAUCGAGUUCCCGUUGCGGCAAUAAGUGAGUCGUUCGAGAUGUCUGAAAGCCACUUUGACGAGUACGAGCACUACAACUUCGACCACGACAAGUUCCUGUAUGCGGGCCACAGCGGUAAACAGAGGUCCAAGAGGGAGGUUUCGGAGCACACCAACCACCAUGACCCGAGCGGCCACGUUCGCAAACUAGUCACCAAAAUGGCCAACACCGAGAGGAACCGCAGGAACUCGGGCGGCAACCGGCAUUGAAGUCUGGUCGUGUGUGGCAUCGCUGCCGGGCUGUCAUCACCCACCUGAGCACGGUUGUCGUGUGCCGCAUCUAAUUUAUGCUUCAACAACGGAACAUUGGACGUCGACUGUGAUCUUUACAAAUACCUUGGACAUUGCGUACUCACCGGGCCGGUGCGUGUGCACAGACUGUUUGCCUUUUCCUCCCUGGCCCUCUUUUUCUGUGAUGUCUCGUCGCUUGCUUUGACGCGCGGUGUGUGUUUCAUCUUUAUCCCCUCAUAAGUGUCGACGGUGGCCCGCUGGCAUCCUGUAGAAUAUUCCGGCUGUUGUCUGUCGGAGAGCCCGUUCGAGCUACCCGUCUUUGCCACUUUAUUAUUUGUUGUUUCGCUUUCAUAUUUAUCUCGCACUGUCGUGUCGUAGACAAUAAAUCAAAGAGGGCAACUCGUGAUGAAGAUAUCGUACGAGCAUAGGGUAUCACAACUAAAUAAAGUGUUAUGGCACUU